GGCGAACGCUGGCGGCGUGCUUAACACAUGCAAGUCGAGGGCACUAUUGGGGCAACCUGGUAGUGACCGGCGAACGGGUGCGUAACACGUGAGCGACCUUGCCUCGUGGUGGGGGAUAGCCGGCCCAACGGCCGGGUAAUACCGCAUAUGGUGCUGUCUUCGCAUGGAGACGGUAGCAAAGCUGUGUCGCAAGACAUGGCGCCACAGGGGGGCUCGCGGCCUANCAGCUAGUUGGGGGGUAAGUGGCCCACCAAGGCGACGACGGGUAGCUGGUCUGAGAGGAUGGCCAGCCACAUUGGGACUGAGAGACGGCCCAGACUCCUACGGGAGGCAGCAGUGGGGAAUCUUGCGCAAUGGCCGAAAGGCUGACGCA
rnacentral:rRNA from 1 species